rnacentral:tmRNA from 1 species
GGGGGCGAAAUUUGGAUUCGACCGGAUAGCUUGAAGUGGAAGUGGCGUGUCGUGGUUGGUCAGUGGGCCACGCAAAAAGCUGACCACAAAUUUACUUGCCGAGGAAAACCUCGCACUGGCUGCCUAGCAACAGGUAGUCCCGACUGCGGGCCUUAACCGGAGAGUCCCAAAAGUCGGUCGUCAAAUCCGGUUCGCCGACGGUCAUGGCGGGCACGUCGUCGGCUAAAACUGUUCUCGCCUAGUCCGCGACGGACCCGGUCGACAGGGGCCGCUGUGGGCGAAAAUCAAACAGUCGACUACACACGUAGAUGCUUCCAUGGAAAUAUCUCGGGACGCGGGUUCGAUUCCCGCCGCCUCCAUUU